rnacentral:rRNA from 1 species
AUUGAACGCUGGCGGCAGGCUUUACACAUGCAAGUCGGACGAGUGGCGAACGGGUGAGUAACGCAUAGGAAUGUACCGAGUAGUGGGGGAUAACUGUCCGAAAGGAAAGCUAAUACCGCAUACUAUCAGAGCGGCCGAUGUCGGAUUAGCUGGUCGGAGGGGUAAAGGCCCACCAAGGCGACAAUCUGUAGCGGGUCUGAGCGGAAGAUGCGCCAUACUGUGCAUGAGAAACGGCCCAUACUCCUACGGGCGGCAGCAGUGGGUACUUUUGGAGAAUGGGCGCAAGCCUGAUGCAGCCAUGCCGCGUGUCUGAAGAAGGCCUGCGGGUUGGAAAGGACUUUUGUCAGGGAGGCGGUACCUGAAGAAUAAGCACCGGCUAACUACGUGCCAGCAGCCGCGGUAAUUC